GAUGAACGCUGGCGGCGUGCCUAAUACAUGCAAGUCGAGCGAACGGACGAGAAGCUUGCUUCUCUGAUGUUGGCGGCGGACGGGUGAGUAACACGUGGAUAACCUACCUAUAAGACUGGGAUAACUUCGGGAAACCGGAGCUAAUACCGGAUAAUAUUUUGAACCGCAUGGUUCAAAAGUGAAAGACGGUCUUGCUGUCACUUAUAGAUGGAUCCGCGCUGCAUUAGCUAGUUGGUAAGGUAACGGCUUACCAAGGCAACGAUGCAUAGCCGACCUGAGAGGGUGAUCGGCCACACUGGAACUGAGACACGGUCCAGACUCCUACGGGAGGCAGCAGUAGGGAAUCUUCCGCAAUGGGCGAAAGCCUGACGGAGCAACGCCGCGCGAGUGAUGAAGGUCUUCGGAUCGUAAAACUCUGUUAUUAGGGAAGAACAUAUGUGUAAGUAACUGUGCACAUCUUGACGGUACCUAAUCAGAAAGCCACGGCUAACUACGUG
rnacentral:rRNA from 1 species